UCUCAAAGUACAAUUGCAAGGAAUUUAGGGAUUUCAACAUCUACAGUCCAUAAUAUCAUCAAAAGGUUCAGAGAAUCUGGAGAAAUCACUGCAUGUAAGCGGCACGGCCGGAAAACAACAUUGAAUGCCCAUGACCUUCGAUCCCUCAGGCAGCACUGUAUCAAAAACUGGAACACAGGAACACUUUAGAGAACCACUGUCAGUAAAUACAGUUCGUCGCUACAUCUGUAAGGGCAAGUUAAAACUCUACUAUACAAAGCGAAAGCCAUUUAUCAACAACAUCCAGAAAUGCCGCCAGCUUCUCUGGACCCGAGCUCAUCUAAGAUGGACUAAUGCAAAGUGGAAAAGUGUUGUGUGGUCUGACAAGUCCAUAUUUCAAACUGUUUUUGGAAAUAGUGGACGUCGUGUCCGCCAAGCCAAAGAGGAAAAGAACCAUCUGGACUGUUAUCGAUGCAAAAUUCAAAAGCCAGCAUCUGUGAUGGUAUAGGGGUGUAUUAGUCCCCAAGGCAUGGGUAACUUACACAUCUGUGAAGGCAACAUUCAUGCUGAAAGGUACAUACAGGUUUUGGAGCAACAUAUGCCGCCAUCUAUGCAACGCCUUUUUUUAUGGACACCCCAGCUUAUUUCGGCAAGACAAUGCCAAGCCACAUUCUGCACGUGUCACAAAAGCGUGGCUUCGUAGUAAAAGAGUGUGGGUACUCAACUGGCCUGCCUGCAGUCCAGACCUGUCUCUCAUUGAAAAUGUGUGGUGCAUUAUGAAGCGUAAAAUAUGACAACGGAGACCCUGGACUGUUGAACAACUGAAGCUGUACAUCAAGCAAGAAUGGGAAAGAAUUCCACCUUCAAAGCUUCAACAAUUAAGUCUCCUCAGUUCCCAAAUGUUUAUUGAGUGUUGUUCAAAGGAAAAAUGAUGUAACACAGUGGUAAACAUGCCCCUGUUCCAACUACUUUGGCACGUGUUGCAGCCAUGAAAUUCUGAGUUAAUUAUUAUUUGCAAAAAAAAAAUAAAGUUUAUGACUUUAAAUAUGACAUUAAAUAUCUUGCUUUUUUAGUGUAUAGGUUGAAAAGGAUUUUCAAAUCACUGUAUUCUGUUUUUAUUUAUGUUUUUCACAGUUUUCCAACUGGAAUUGGGUUUUGUGAUUGUGGAAAUAAAAAAAAAUAAACAAGUACACACAUAAAAUCUACAAGUACACAACUCAUAGAGUGUGGAUUUCACAUUCACUAAAACACAUACACAAUCACUGUACACAACUACAAAUUACAUGUUACAGAUGCACAAACCUUUUGCACCAAAAAUACCUUCAUAUAAGAGGCUCAGAAUUUGAAUUCUACAAGUCUCUCUGCUUAGAAGAACACAGUGUUAGAGCAUGUAAAGUGUAAUUUGUAGCUGGGAGGAGUGUGAGGGAAGAAAAUGUUUCAGACAAUUUCAUGCCACUUCUCUCUCUCUAGCCGAUGAUGUCACCCACUCUGGGAUGAAACAUGAAUUAUUACACCAAAAGACAAGACUUGUAUCAUCAUUUAUAAAGUUUAAAUGGAGUUUCUUGGUAAAGGUAUGCCAAAGUAGUAGAUGUUUGAAAAACUGCAACAAUUACGACCACGGGGCAAAUGCACUGGGGAACUAUAAUACUGUUAUACUGUGGAUUUUUUCUCUUUCCUCUUCUGGACAAUUUUCAUGAUUUGAAUUUGGGACAAGGCAAAAUAAAGAGCAACUAGAAAAUUCUCCCUGGGAAAUUUUAAGAAGGCCAUGGGGGCUGCUGCAGGGGAUUUUACAUUAUGAUGAGAUUCUUCAGAGAUUUCAAAUAAUCAAUACUAGUAGAAUUGUGAUAUUAUGUACAAGGAGCACACCUACAACACGCAUUCUUUUUUCAAGUAUUUAUUUAUAAAACAGAAAAAAAGGAGACAUAGAUGUUUGAAAAACUCAAAAAAAUGCUCUUUGUUUUAGCCUAGUCCCAUUGCCUUCAGUGCAAAAUUUUUCUGCAGUGUUUUGCAACUUAUGUCACAAAAAAUUCUAGUACAAUAGAAGAAAGGAAUAGCACAUCAAUCCUGAUCAAACCACACAUUUUGACAUAUAAUUUGUCCUACAACUCUUUAAGCUGUAGGACGAGUAGUGAAUCAAAAUUUGUCAACAGUAUAACGAUAGUGCCUCAGUGCGUUUGCCCCAUGGCCCUAAACAAGUAUUUUAGGACCAAAAUCUGCAACAAUAUCCUGACUAAAGAGCGCUCAUCUUUCAUUUUUUAGGUAACUAUUAUUUUGAGAAGAGAAGGCGAAAUGGCCAAUAAUUCCUCUACUGUGAAUCUCACUCCUUCAGUGAUGGCAUACAUCAUCAUCGGCUCAGCGGAUCACAUUAUCAGCUUCCCAGUGAACUGCUGGGCUCUGUGGCUGAUUGUCUCUGGAAAUAAGAGCCUCUUUCAAGCAGAGUUUUUAACUCUCCACCUGGUUUUCUGCGAGUUAGUGUUUUCUUUGUGUUUUUAUCUAUCCCUGGCAUGCUUGUUUUUCCAGUUAAGACUUCUAAACCCUCUGAAAGACUUUUAUCACGGUGGGUCUGUGGGGGGAAGAGCCCUGUUCCAGUGUCACAUCUGUGUGGAUCGCUACUUGGCAGUUGCCCAUCCUCUACUCUUCAUCAGGUAACCAAACCCUCAUAGAGAGAGAGCAGAAGUUUCUGUUUCUUUAUCAGUAAAAGUUCACUGAGACGUGGGGCGGCUGGUGCAGCUGCACUACCCACCAUACUGGAGGUAAAGACCUGAUAACUGAGCUGGUCUACCUCUGUCGUCCCUCAGAUUGAGAAUCUGUAAGGACUGCAGCUGCUCAUUCGUCAAACUCAAGAAGCUAACAGACACUAAGUAUUGCAGACCUGCCACUCGUGCAUCUGUAUCUGACAGGCUCAUACCACUCACAGAAAAUCACUGUUUUUCCUAACAGAGCAAUUCUCAGUAACCUCUCUGAGGUCAAGACAAUGGCAACUUUUAUGUUACAUGUUUGUGUAUUGUCUGGGUUCCUCAUGACAUGAAAAUGGCCUUCAGUUCUGUUUUAACUAAGCUUUUUGUUUUUAUUUGUCUUUUUCCACAUGCUUUAUGACUAUUUGCCAAAGCACUUUGUAAACUUCUGUUUUUAAAAGUACUAUAAAAAUAAAGUUAUUAUCAUUGUUAUGUAAAGAAACAUGUUUUGGUCUUGUCCAGGUACAAAAGAAUAAAGUACAGGGGGGGCUGCCUUGCAGCUGUAUGGCUGGCAGUUUUAUGUAAGCGAAGAUAAAAUAUAUUUACUUUUCUCUGAUAUUUUGUAGAUAAAGCAUUUUCACAAUUUCAGUGUUUGUUUUUUUUUUUUUUUUUUUUUGCUCAUCCACAGCUGCUGGAUUGUCCAACUACUUAAGGCCAAUGAAUUCUGCUGUAGUCACCUGGGGUUCAAGUUUGAUCCUUGCCCCUGCCCUCAUCAUUGAGCUCUUCUGCAGUCUGUCCAUCCUCAGGAUUCUCAGGAGACCCAGUCCAGGAGACAAGGAGGGCCAUGAGAGAAAAGAGGGGAAUCAGCUGAAGAUGAGAGCCAUGAAGAUAAUUUGUCUUACUCUUGCUAUGCUGAUUUUUAAUGUGGUCCCAUUUCUUGCAUUAGGUCUGUAUAUUAAACUAGGUGAGGCUCCAGAUAUGAUUGCUAUAGCUUUCACUCUGUCCAGUGUCGGGAGUUCAGCUCAGGCAGUUUUAUUCCUUAGCAGGGCCGGGAAGCUGCCAUGUAGAGGUUGAAACUAAAGAGAAAUAUUCACCAGAAAAGCCUCCAGACUCCCACAAAUGUAGUGCUGUCAUGGUGAAUACAUUUACACCAGCUUUUUGUGAGAGCAGUCACAAAAAAAGAAGAGAUUUGUUUCCUAAAGCCUUAUUGACCCACCUGUGUUGAAACAAAAACUUUAAAAAUGUAGAAAAAAUAUUCAAUACCUUCUCCCUCCCCAGGGUCAUAAUCAGCACUCAGUGUGAUGAGUAAAUCCACAGGUUAAAGUUGAUUCAUAGACUGGUAACUUUACUUUACCUGGAGUCCUGAUAUUAAGUAUAUACAACAUUAGCAGGUUCAUUUUGUCUAACUGACUAGUUCCCUUAGAUGUUUAUCUUGAAGUUAAUUGAUGAGAAUUCAUUGUUUUUUUGACACUGACAUAGAUUUUUUGUUUUUAUCCGUUAUCCACUGUGAUGCUUCCAUCAAUGUGAAACUGAUUGUUUGAUCGCUUGUCUUGCUUUCUGUUACGUUUACUCCGAGUGGGAUACUGACUUUAGUUGUGUUCUUUUGCAUGUAGUUGCAGGUUUGCAGCCACACCUUUUCUAAGAGCUCCUACUCUCCAACUGUCUUCAUUUGUCAUUAACGACAUAACUUCAGUCGACAGGGACUUCAUUGUGUCGCAUUUUUGAUUCAUUUGACUUAAGUCUUUGAUACUGUUGAUCACUACCUGAAAAUGCAUGCACUUGGUUUCAGGACAAAUUUUCUACAAGACAUCAGUGUGUCCAAAGAGGUCAGGCCAAAUCUGAAUUAUUGAUAAAAGUGGACCACAGGGAUAUUUUUUAGGACCUAUCUUCCCUAUCUAAACUGAUGACAUCAUUUCAUCUUUGAAUGGUUGUCAUACUUACAAUCUUCUGUUGUUGUGCACAAAAACUCCAAUAAUUAGGGCACCAAGGCACUGUGCCGCAGGGCAGAGAAGUCCCUAAUUGGUGAGUAGGCUUACCAACCACUUCCACCUUUGGCAUAAGGAUGUUAGGCCACUUCUGGACAUUUUUCCUUUAUCAAAGUAUCCGUCCAUGUGCAAGUAAUUGAUGUGUUUUUUUUUUUUUACUGUAAUUUACUUUUUUAUUCUGUCAGUCAUAACAUAAAAGUAAAAAACAUUCUGUUGGAUGGUUUAAAAAUUACCUGACAGACAGAACUCAGUCUGUGCAGGUAUGGGCCUUAUUUCCAGCUCACUCACUGUCACAAAAGGUGUGCCACAAGGGUCUAACCUAGGACCACUCUUAUUCAUCAUUUAUAUCAAUAGUAUUGAUCAGAACAUAUCAAAUGCAAAACUUCAUUUUUUGCAAAUGACACAGUCAUGUAUAUUACUGCUUCCACAGCAGGCCAAGCACUUACACGGUUACAGCUUGCUACUAAUAAUGUGCAACACCACUGUUAUAAUUUUAAACUGGUUUUAAAUGCAGACAAAACAAAAGUUAUGCUAUUAUCCAAUUCUUGGUCCAAACUUUCAAACCUGCCCUCAGUGAUCACAGCUCAGGGUUCUCAGAUAGAACGUAUUUCUUCUUACAAGUAUCUUAGAUUCCCUUUUUUUCUCUGCUCAUAUUCAGCAGCUUGUGAAAAAAACUAAAACUGAAGUUAGUUUUUUUUUUUUUCUAGAGUAACACCUGUCUCUCCUUUGGAUCCAGACAGAGACUGGUUUUUGCCACAUUUAUGUCUGUGCUGGACUACAGUGAUGUUUUGUCUAUGCACGCCUCUUCUCAAAGUGUUUCUUAAAGGUUUUACAGGUGGGUUUGACUGUAACGAAUGAUUUUUGGUUUAGGGCCUCUAAAUGCCUGAAAAACACAGAUGAAAAGUUCAGAAAAAUGGAGACCCCAGCCAUUCGUUUUCUUUCCCAAAUUUUCUCUCUUUAUCACAGAAACCAAAAACACAUGACUCAACCAUGUAAAAUGUUCCUCAGUGCAUGAAUGUCUCUGUUAGAAUCUCCACAGUGAGAAUGUCCAUAUGCUGCUUUAAUAAAGUCCAUUCCAUAUGGUUCCCCUUUAUAAUAUUCAUUAAAUGAUUAUUUUAAUGACAGAGUGAAACUUUUCAAUGUUAAUACUAUGUUGUAGACAACUUCGCCAAGUCUCAUUAGAUCAGACAAGACACAUGAAUGAAUACAAAUUAACAGGGGGCUAGAAAACAGUAAAUGUAUGGCGACUAUAGCUGCCUGGAGGCUGAGUAGGGGAAAACGGUACCUUGCCCAACGCGCUGGCUGUAUACACUUCAAAAAACAGGCUGUAUCUUCAUUUGUAGAUUUAUUAAUGCAAAAGACAAAGCACUUACAUGAAACAGAAAAGGGCAGUCGUUCAAUAUCAGGCGAAAUACAAGCGAAAAAGCGAAACAUAAGCAUAACAUAAGCCGUCAGCAAAAGUAGGGCUUCCCCAUUCACCCCCUCUCCAUUCAUCCACAAAACCCGCCAGUCGAACAGCUGACUUACCACUACUGGUGCUGACGUACUACCUCCACCCACACCACGUGACACUCAUCCCUGUAUAUAACCACACAGUGCAUAAACAUUAUAAAAAAAUCAUGGCUACCACAAUGAACUGGCAUCUACAAUAAACUUCCCCUUUAAACUGCUUACUGCAAUAUGAAGCAAUUUUAAUCAAAAUAUCAGACAUACUUCAAAGGAAAUUUUUCCUAUUCUUAGCAACAGUUGAGUUUUAAUCCACAAGGCUCAAUAACAAUAGCCUACCCUUCAACAAAAUACCUUAAUAAUCUUACUUAUGAAUUGUAUAAACAUUUUUUUUCCUAUCAAAACAGGUAAUACCAAAAUGUACGUUAAGUGUUCAGGGUUCUCGCUUUAAAUAUAGCGCUUGGAGAUGCACACCCUCAUGCUAACAGUGCGCUCCAAUUUCAGGGGAAUGAUAGUGUUACAAACUACACAGGUUGUAGGCUGAUGGUUUCCCGCGCUGAGCAGCAGCACUAUGUUUAGCUCUCUUUAUAUAGUCCUUAUAACAAGCUAAAGUCUGUCAACAGCACACUUCAAACUCAGGCUAAAUUUAGUUUAACAUUGUGUAGAUGUAAGGGGUAAAAUUUUAUGAAUUUCACAGUGUACCAACCUGAAAACCACAGAUGAUAACUUGGAAAAAAUUGAGAAAAACAGAACAGAAACAGAAAAAUGGAGACCCAAGCCAUUGAUUCUUCCGCGUUCUUGCACGCAGAUUCAAUCACAGGGGUAUUCUUGUUUAUAAAUGUGCUCUCGGUCUGUCACCAUCCUACCUUCUGACCCACAUCAGUUAGAAGAGCACAGGACUUCAUAAUCUUUGGUCCCAGGUUCUUCUCGUUGUCUGUCCCAAAAGUCUCUGAACAGGGAAAAAGGCGUUCAGGUUUGCAGCUUCACAUACAUGGAAUGAUCGACAAAAAACCCCAGAAACUUCAGGAUCUGGUUUCACUGGACACUUUCAAGAUGAUGUUGAGUGACUUGGAGACACAUCUGGCUGUAUAUGUUUUGUCUGAUGCACUUUACUUUUCUCACAUGGGCAAUCCAAGCAGAAUUGGCUGUCUGGAAUUGUGACUGUUUUUUCUUAUGUAUCUUAGUCGUGUUUAUGUGUUUGUUUACUGUGUGUGUUUGUGUUGAUCUGUUGAGCAUGCUGCUGUCUCAGCCAGGACACUCUUAAAAAGGGAUUUUUUUUAUCUCAAUGAGUUUUGUUUCCUGGUUAUAUAAAAUAACUAACUAAAUAAAAACGAUACAUGAAAUUCAUUAUAAUGUACCUUGGUGUCACGAUAUGUUUUCUUAAUUUAGUUUUCUCCUGGUGUUGUUUCUUUAAGUGUAUUUUCUGUGUAUUUUCCCUAGUUUUUCUGUUCCCCUGUAGUCCUGUGUGUCUGACCCCGUUUCCCUCAUGUUCUCAGUGUUUUAUUCUUUAGAUCAGUUUUCAGUGUUUCCUGUUUUAUUUUGUAGUAGUUUAUUCCCUGUUUCUAGUCUUGUUUUACUUCCUCAGUUUUCCUUCCUCUGUGAUUAUCUGCACCUGGGUCUCAGUGUCUCACCUGUCUCUGAUUGCUCGUUUCCCUGUGUGUGUAUAAACAGUCCCUGUCUUCCUCUGUUUCCACGUUGGUUCAUUGUGCAUAUGUAUGUCGAAGUGUGCCUAUGCCUGUGUCCCCAGUGAGUCCUCAGUAGUAAUGGCCAAAUGAAGCUUUCUGAAGCAAUGAGGCUUCCCAGCCUAUUGGAAGCUUUGUUCAGUGCUCACUAGCCCCAUCUGUUCAAAAGUUAAACUAUGACAGCCAAGUCAUUCAAAUAGAUUUCAAAUGUCACAAUACUGAGUACAGAUUAGGUGGUGGUAGAAAAUGAAUGGAUGUAUAUUAUCACAAUAUAGAAUAGUGUUUAAUCCCUGUACAAUAACAAUAAAGUCUUUAGUGUUUCAUUUAAUCAGACUGUUUAAUAGGUCUGUACACACACACACACACACACACACACUUUAACUUUUAGGUUUUUAGGUUUUAAUCUUAUUCACUAUCAACUAUUUAUUUGUUGAAUUUCCCCUUUGGGAGAUCAAUAAAGUUCUAUUCUAUUCUAUUCUAUUCUAUUCUAUUCUUCUUAACUCUGCUCUCCCUUUUUAUUCCUAAGAAAUAUUUUCUGUCCCUUUUGAUUGUCAUAUUGUUUUGUGAUUUUCAUGGCUAUCAGUGUUCAUUAUUUAUUAAACACAUUAGGUGGUGUUGUGUGUUGGAAGUGCAGUGCUUGGGUGACACAGUACAGUAUGUUGGGAGGGGGGCAGGAAGUGGAGGGGUAAUCUUUUUUUUUUUAAGGUCUGGACUUUUUUCACAGUUUCUGGUUUGGAGAACACCCUCUCACAAGGCACUGACGACGCUGGAGAACAUAGGAACCUCAGUGCCAUGUGGUACAAAUAAAGGGACACAUGUUUUUGAGUAUGCCAGUACUCAAGCGGAUCCUUGUUUCUUCUUAUGUUUUUUUGAGCGAGGUACCGCUCUACUUCUACAAUUGCAUCUGCUGUGGCAUUGGAGCUUCUUCUCCUCUGAUCCACUGUUUCAUCCAACAGAGACCACAGUUCACCUAAAAAUAGUUCAAAUACAGAUUUUGCCUGGGGAAAAAAGUUGUUUAACUUUGAAUCAUUAGGUAUUUAUCCCCCUUCCCAAUGAGCUAACAUGGCAUGGGUGGUCCCAUUGGAAAGCUGUGGUUGUCCAGAAUACAAUGGUAUCUUUACUUUUUGUCUACCUUAAAAUUUAACCAUGCCACGCUCGCGGAAAGACAGUGUCAUCAGCGAUCCUGCCAGCAAAAACGUUUUUGUCAUAGGGGUAACAAAACAUUAAAAAACACACCUUUGGGAAAUAAAUCUUUCUUGGGAACAUCAAAAUCCUUUUUUCAGAGGUCUUAAGGAUGAUAAAAAUCCUGACUAGAAAAAAAAUAAGGGGGGGGGGGGACGUGGAGGUCCCUAAGUGCCCUACUAAAGCAAACCACUUCAAACAGAACCUGCUGCUUAUUGUUUUGUCUUUGAUUUGUUUCGGAGCCUUGCUAUUUCUGCAUUGAGCUCUUUAACAUGCUCAAGGGAAAAAUCCAACGCAGCAGGGCCUGUACUGGCACAGUAACCAUAGUCAGGAUCUUCCUCUUCCACAGAUCAGCCAUCAGUCUGCAUUUCCUCCCUGUUGAAUUGCUUGGCCCUUCCUCAAACACUGGGCUGUGGGGCUGGAAGGGUGAAGCUGUUCCAAUUAAAAGCACUAGGACAGCUCCAUUCUUGAGACAUGUGCGACCAACUGGGGUCGGAGGUUGGAUCUGGUCUGAGCUGCAGACUUGUGAGCUGCAGACUUGUGAGCUAUCUAACAGUGAAGUUGUCUCUACAGAUGUUAAUAAUGAAUUUCCCUUGAGGGCUCAAUAAAAUUCUUAUUUUAUCUUCAUCCAUCAUCUCUGUAACUCCUUGUCUUUGUAAAACAUAUGGAAACUUAUGAUGGAGUUACCUUUAGCUGAUGCUCUGCGUUGCAGCACACAGUAGUGAUGGCUGGCAGUGCUGUCCUCUUGGCUUUUAAAAGACACUUUUGUGUGUUUACAGGUCAUCACAUACAUCAAGUAUCAUAAAUUUAAAACAAUAAAAACAACAAAAGCAGUUUAGAUUUGUUUUUCUGAGUAGCGGUCAAGUCAUCUGCCAUCAGGGAAUGUUUACAAUGGCUGUGUCUCAUUUCAGAGACCGCAUCAGGCUGAGCGCGCUCUGCCGUUAUGUGGACUUGAGUACCCUGAGUGAGAUGGUCCAGUUUUUGUGAAAUGGGACAGACUACCCUUCGGGGGACUUCCUGGUUGAGUCGCCAGAUGUCCCCACCCUCAGGCUCGCGUCACGACUGACUUGAAGAAAAGCCGUGGAGCGCAGCAUUGGUGUCUCUGCAGGUGUAGGCUACCGUCGGUGUCAGAGACGUGGUGCUUGUUGGAGCUCGACUCCUUCUGGAUCUCAAAUGUUGAGCAUCAGUCGGAUUGUUUCUUCAGAAACCACAAAAACUCUCUGAAUGACCUGCUGAUGCAUCCACCGAUAACCCUGCAGAUGACCAGCUUCAGUCAUUUCCCCCUCCACAAAAGCAGCUUUAUGACUUUAUUUACUUUAUGACUUUAUUCUCCUAAAUUUACAGCUUUAAUCUAAAGGUCCUUACACACCAGGCACAAAUUCGCCAGGCGAAUUAUUCGCCUUUUUUUAAAACAGCAUAAAGUCAAUGCAAGCUUCCACACCGGCAGUGAUUUUCCCGCGGGGCGAAAAGCUUCUUUAAUUUUUUUUCGCGCUUGUGUCGAAUUUUUCGGAGAUUUGCAGGCGAAUAUCUGGACCUGCUAGACCUCUGGCCAAUCAAAAGUCAUGUUGUUGAUGAUAUUCAUUUAUCAAGCACGUUAUGGCAAACCCAUCCAGCUCCUCUUGGAGACAAGUGAGCUAUAGAUGAGCUAUUAUGUGCUUAUAUACAUUAUAACGGGGCUUUCAAGAAAACAGGACUUUGUCUCAUUCAUAUAGAAUAUUGCCUAUUAUUUUAAUCUUACCUCAGACAUGUGGCUAGCUGCUCCUCUGGACCAAUUGGCUCUCUGUAGUUAGUUGUCUGUUUCUCCAGCUGUGGGGUCAGCUGCUUGAGGAGGUUGUUAAAUUGCCCAAGGGACAUUCUAAAAUACUGGCGGACUUUUGGGGGGUAGAACUUCUCUUUGCUAAAUUUAUACGCAUAUUCGCUUUGCGCCCGGUGUGUAUAGGCAACCGGCAAAUAUUUUCGCAUUUUCGUCUUGCUUUUUCGCCUCGCUCCGCAAAUUCGCUGGUGUGUAAGGACCUUAAGUCUUCAAAAACAAAACAAACAAACAAAAAAAAAAAAACCUUGAUGUGGUCCUGAUACUCUGACGUUGUUUUGGCAGCUUUCUUAUUUCUAAUGUUUUUGAUUGUGGUAGCAGAGCGGAUCCAUUCUUUUCUAUAGAGGAUCAUGUUUAGUUUGCAGAUUUUAGUGAGUUAAGAGAUCAUGCACUCAUACAGCCUGAGCUGACUGUCUGCUGUUGUUGGAUUUCUUUUAUUUUCUUUGAAGAUGUGCUGCGUCUCCAGGCGAGUCCAGCCUCUCACCCGAAAUGCGUAGCUGUGCGGCGGCACGUGAAGAAUUCUAGGAUACCAAGGCCACAAAAGUGUGCAUAAAUGCACGCUUGAAAAAGGGGCGUGGGUAGUGUGGUUUUGAGACUGAAUUUAUAGCGCGCUCAGCAUUUCAAGCCAACAUCACUCACACUUCUAAUGCGCCGUUCGACGAUGCCAUCUCUGAAAUGAGACACAGCCAAUGAUCCUGAGAUUUCACCGUAAAUACAUCCUCAGCUUGUGUGCAUUGAGCCCAUUGGUCUCAGCUGUGAGUCUAUAAGGUUGUACAAAUAUAUGUCCAUGAUUAUCACAUAUUUUUAAAUCCACAAAUAUAUCCAUGAUUUACAUUUCUUUUUUUAAUUUUAUGUGUGCAUUUGUCACGACUUAUCAGUUGUAAAUCUUCAAUUCUGCUUGUUGAAUUGUCGAAAGUGCAUUUGUGGAUCAACCAGCAUGCACAUUUAUUUUUGAGACAAACAUCAAGCAGUUCUGAAGAGAUUAAAUUUCCCUUCGGGGAUCAAUAAAGUUUUUCUUAUUCAAACACGGAAGUUUAAGAUAUUCACAUUGUGGAGAAUACUGCCCCUCCCAUCGGCUGGGCGGCAGUGUUCCUCUCCCCCUUGAGAGCAUAGACUGUAAAGACGAAAAUUGACAUCUAUCCAAUAAAGGAGCAGAGAAAGGCCAAAGUCAACAGGCCAGUUGGAUCAUAGACAUAAUGGCCCUCAUUUAUCAAGCUUGCGUACGGCAGAAAACUUAAGUACACCUUGUGUACGAAAAAUUGGACGCGAAGAUCAGCAUUUAUCAAUCUGCACGUGAACGUACACUACGACCAAAUCUCAUGACAGGUCUGACAUUGUGUACCAAGUUUGAGUCAGUGUGGAUCUGUGAUGCAGCAAAUGUCUGUCUGAAAAUAAUUAAUGAACAAACCUCAAACCUGUCAUUAAGCACAAUCAGCCAGAUUUCAUUAAAGAUUAAGACGUAAAUAAAAUAAAAUAAAUUUGUUAUGUCCUUAAUGAAUAGACCUAUUUGAUAACUCUGCCCAGAAACACUGCUACAGAGCAGGAGCGCCGUUUAAAAAUUGCGCCCUCACGCACACGCGCCACUGUGGAGCGCUGCGUUUGACUCCUAAAAGGCAGGUGUCUCUGUCUUGGCCCAGCAGUGGGGACGUUGUUGUACACUCCUGAAAGGGUGUGGGACAUCAUUUGGGCCAGUACAGUUUUGAACAAUGUUGCACUGGCGAAUGGAGUGCCGUUGGCUGUGCCAGUGCAACAUGAGGACCUGAUGCCCGGAGAACAAUAACGAGGAGAGACUCCACAAAGGUGCUGUACAGAGGAGACAAGACCUUAUCAAUGGAUUCUGACAUGUAAAGUAUAAGUUUAGAAAGUGCUCUUGCUAUUUAAUCAGUGAUAAAAAUCCAAUAGAAAUCCAUAAAAAUGUACCUCAGGGGCAGCAACACACCGUUUGGUGAGGUUAAUAAUUAUUUUUAUUCAGCCUCUGUCAGACUCUCCAGUCUGCUCUACAUUACAAAGACGCAACAAAUUAAAACUAAAUACUUUCAUUAAAAGGAGCAACGUCAUACCAAUAAACAAAUAUGAGGCAUGUAUGAGAUAUUAAUUCAUCAUCAUGAGCAACUUAUUGACUAAUGAUUUAUUUAAACUUCAGCCACUGUCUGCUAUUCCAUGGCAGCGCUGUUCACCGCCACCAUAAUCCUGAUCCAGACAGGAGUUUUCUGGACUGCUUUUAUUGCAGUUUUGAUGUUUCCAAAGAGAAAAUCCUUGUUAGUUUCCACCACAGAUGUGAGGAUAUCCACUUUCAGCUCGAAAAAGUUUUGAAUCUUUCAUGUUUGACCUCAGUGGGCGAGGCUUCUGAACCACGAAUAUUUAAGGGCGCAAACAUGUUAAUGAUGAUCGAUUUCAGCCGCCGCAUUUAUCAAGACCCGAUCAUACAUACGCUGGGAUUGGUCAGAUAUGAACCCUUUCAUAAAUCUCACGUGUGUUCUAUCGUAGGAUGAAUCCUGCACUCAGAUCUGCGCAAGAUUGAUAAAUGAGGGCCAUUAUGCGUUGGAUAUGUCUAAAAUACGAUUACGAAGAUUCCACACAAUACACACCCAUUAUAAUCUCAAAAUUUGUCCAAAAAUGAUCAUAGUCAUUAAACAGUGAGUGAUAAAAAACUACAAUACUUAUCAAAACGACGAAUGAUACACCAAUAUACAAGACCUGUAUCUACAUUUUAAAAUUUAAAGGUGCCUCUAGGUGAAAGUAUGAUGGAGUAGUAGAUGUUUGGAAAAACUCCAAAAGUUACCCGUCCCAUUGACUUUAAUGUAUAAUUUUUCCACAACGACUUACAUUGCCAAAAACUUGUAUACGAUGGAGAAAAGUAAUAGCACAUGGAUUAAACUUCCUGUUUUCAUAUAUAAUUUGCCAUAGAACUCUUCAAGCUGCAGGACUAGUAGCGAAUCAAAGUUUGUCUGCAAGCGGUCUAUGGCAGUGGCUGGCCAGCCUCAUCCUCCUAGAUGCUACCUUCUUGCUGAGCCUUGGCAGUUGCCCAUACAGGUCCUUGUUGGUAAUGUGGAUGUUCGGAACAGCUCGUAGCAUUCUGGUGUAGCACACAUCAAGAGACUUCUGUAGGGUGGGUGUCAGGGUCCAGCUUUCGCACCCAUACAGGAGGACAGACUUCACAGUGGCGUGGAAUAGGUUCAGCUUUAUGUGUUUGGAGAGAUCUGAGCACCACACUCUUGACAUACCGUUCAGGGCCCUCCAUGCUAGUGUGUUCCUGACCUUAAGGUCCUGUUCUGUGCACCCAGGAACCCAAGUAUUUGAAGUCAUUGACCUCUCGCAGAGUGUUGCCAUCUGAGGUCAGACACCAGGCAGAUGUCAUCCGCCUUCCCUCAUUAUACAAAUUUGAAGGCAAAUUGCUCUUGGUAUUUCCAGAAUUUCUCCACUCCCUGGAACCACCACUUGCGCACAUUCAAUGGGAGAGUCACAGUGAUGACACUCUGCUCAAACAGUGUAUCCUACGGGUGAGCUACACAAUCUUUGUACGCCCAUAGUCUGUAUCAAGUGUCAAUCAUAGCAAACAUGAACCCCCUAAUAACUUUUAAAAGUGGAGAUGCACAGAAAAAAGAGGACUUGAGCACAAACCAGUCUUGCAAUAACUCAGUGGUGGGCCGUCAGGGCCAGCAAGGCCUUCUCUGCUGGCCACUUUGUUGAGCUGCUUCUAAUUCUGUAUAUUAUGAUAAUUAUUCAGCUAGCUAGUGCUGUCAGGUGCUAUGAAAUCUGCCCAAUGCCUUCAGAAUCAACCGAGCAGGCCCCUGUACGCUUAAAGUGAGCGGACACAGUCAGCUGCAAUAGCCAAUCACAUUUUGAGUCUGUGACACCAAGGCCAGCUAGAAGGUCUUACGCUGAACUGGACACGCAUCCUGUGAUUGGAUAAGCACUCAUUAGAACCUGAAAGGCAGUACUUUUAAAAAUAUCAAACUAAAUCCAGAGAUCCAUUAGCCACCAGCAGCUAUCUCUGUAUUUUGCUGUACAGAAACACAACAUGGCAGACACGGCUUUCAGCAUUAGCCUCCAUGUCCAUAGAAAAGGACUUAAUGACGGAACUGAAAUGCACAAAUAAACUGUACAACAGAGCCAUUGGAGUCGUCUUGAGAAAAGAAGGAGGAUGUAUCUUAUUUUCAAAUAAGCAGGCCCUGUGGAGGAGAUCCGUAUUGGUGAGUGCAAGUUUAUAUUUUUAAUGGCGACAAUGCCCAAAUUAUUGGACAAACUUGUUUGGGCUGACAUAGUGUACUUUAGGUGGCCUUUUGUUGACUAGUAUCUUAAGAUCCCCUUUUAAUUUUUGAGUUUUGACAGCAUCUGUGAUCUUAGUGUCCUACUCUUAACUGUGAAUGUGUGCUCAUUGGUUUUAAAUGCUCUGGAAAUUAAGUGUUGCUCAACUGGCCUAUAUUAAGGUGGUGUAAUAUGUAAGUGUGAUUCUGAUGGAUUCUCAAGCCAUGGUGUCAUAUUGAUGAUAUUAUGAGGUGUAUUAAUUUAGGUAGGACUAAGUGGAAUGGCACUGAAAGCGUAGAUGGGAAAUGCAUGGCCCACCACUACAAUAACUACAUGUCACUUCGCAACCAGGGUGGAGAAAAAUUCAAAUUCUGUGUAAUGAAUUUCUAAAGUUUGUCCACAACUCCAAAGGGAUUGCUGGUGGAGGCAGGGUUUAUGACCUAUACUGCAGCCCAUCACCAGAGGGUGCUGUUUCUUGCAGAGGCUUCACCCAAAAAGGAGGCAGACAGCGUCCAUUCUUUAUACAGUCUAUGGUCUGUGCUUGAUCUAGCUUAUUGUUUAGGUCCAAGAACUAUUUGUAUAAUAAGUUUCUUAAAGCAACGGUUGCUUUUGUACUUUUCACUCCUCCAUUUAAAUUAAUACUUUGCAUUAUCUUGUUUGAGUCUUUGGUUGGCAGUUUGUCAUGGUGUUUGGUAAUUAGAGGUCAGGUUAACAAGAAUCCUGUCAGGGUGAGCAGGACCUUGUUGGGGUUUCAUUUGUAUAACCACCCACUCACUGCACCUUCAACCCCUGAAAAUCCAAUUUACUGCAGAAAAUUAAACAAGCCCAACUGCUCUUUUUUAUAGUCAAAUUUCCUUGAUUACACAGUAUAGUGUUGUUUUCUAUCUCUGUAGAAGUUCAGUAAAAUAAAAACAGGAGUGUCAGAGAAGCAGAGAGAGAGAGAGAGAUGCAUACCUGCGCUCUAACAGCUCUACCUGUCAAGCAGGUUGGGUUGGAUAAAGUUUGCAGGUGGGGGGUUAUGAGGGUGGGGUUGAAAACUCUGAGGAGAGAGAGAGAAAGAGAGAGAGGACAAAAAAAAGAGGAAUGUACGAGCACUACAGAUAGGAGGAUUAACAAAGGGAGGAAAAAACUCAGAGAAGGACAGAGACAAACCUACUCACCUGUUGGACCUCGUCAGUGAAACAGGUAAGACAGAAACACAUUUCAGUCCUCUCUCAUUCAACCCAUCGAGCAUGUGUACAUUUCAAUUCUAUCAUCUUAUUAUUUUAUGAUCUUUCACUACACAGAACUGGGUCCAUGACUCAUUAUGUAUUACGUCAUGAAAUAUUGAUUAGGGCUGUUGACAGGUGAUGAAGAGCUGAGACAUGUGGACCAAGAUAAGCAAGUUAAAAAAUGUCUCUAAAAUGUGACAGUCCUCCAUGCAGCGCUCACAUGAUACAUAGCUGUUUUUAAUAAUUUAGCAGACCAAAGUUAAUGUUACUGUGAAGCCUUUACACAAAGACUGAAUGUAUUUGAGAGUAAAUAAAAAGGUUAUGUGUAGGCUGAAGAGAAAAGGAUUAGAGUAUGAAGAUUGAAAUGAGUACAAUAGAUGUAAUCAGUUUUAACAUUUUUAUCUACAGAGUCUUAAUUUUCACAUGCACAGUCUAACCAAGCAUCAGUUAACACUUGUUUUGGCGGUUUGACUGAACUGUCUUGUCCCAGACAAUAAUCGAAUCAUUGCCAAGAGUAUGUCUGCCUUCACUAUGCUAGCUAAAGGUGUAGUUGAGGCGGGCAUAUUAACUUUCUCCUGGUUAACCUAUCUUGCCACAAACAAAACAAUCUACAAACAAGUUAGUAAGAAGCAGACUUUUUGUAUAACAGGGAAAUACCAACAUCUUUACAACUCUGUACCUUUUAUAUGUACCAGGGAUCCAAAUUUAAAGGGGAGUUUAUGAGGUUUUUUCAUACUCUAUUAUUUCCUCUCUGAUACCUCUUUAAUAGCUUUACGUGAUUUUCAAAUAAAAAAAAAAAGCUCAAAUUUCUCACAGUGAUGUAUAAAAAUAUCAUUUUGCAGCCUCUGUCUGAACGCUUCGUUUUGGCUGCUGUCUCUUUAAGGCCCACCCUUCCACAAGCACACUGUCUUCUGGUUGGCCACCUCUCCAGAGGCUUUCCAGGAACAGGCAGGGGGAAGAGCUCAUUCUUUUGACCCCACUCCCUGUUUGGUGGUCAAUUACUUGAGCUGUGCAGGAGCAUUACCCCCAUAGACAUCAUAUAUGUAGACAUAUAUAUAAGUAUGUAUGUAUGUCCUUAAAUAAUAUGUCUUGUAUAUAUGUAUAUAUAUAUAUAUAUAUAUAUAUAUAUAUAUAUAUAUAUAUAGUGAGCUGCUGAAUGAGCUUCUGCAACAAGAGAAGGUUACGAUCAGUUUGGUUGUAAAAAAAACAAGCACAGGCAGCAGCCAUGUUUCUAGUUUGCAGAGACAGUGACGUGCCAGCCUUGCCUCUUAGGAAAUCUGUCCACUUGUUUAGAAGUGGCUGUUGUGUAUUUCUCCCCAAAAUCAGCUUGCAGGGACCUGGUGCAGGUGCAGCCCCCUGCUGGGCAUUUAGCCCAGCACUGAAAGAAGAACACCACCCUGAUAGCCCAAUAUAAUCUGAGACUAUACAAAGCUUCAUUCUACCUGAUAGCAAAUCAAACAAAAAACACAUGUUCAAGAACGUUCUUAGUAAGCAAUACUUGAUCAAUUGUUAACAUUUAUGGUACAUUCACAUGUUAAAUGCACUGUCUUGCUUCCCUCUCACUUUCGUCCUCUUCUGUUAAGGUUUUGUUUGCUUCCUUUCAGACAACUUCUUCUAAUCUUACUGGUUUUGGUUGACCUCUGGGUCAAACCCUAGCAUGCAAACAUGCUGAAAACACUUAGGUUAGUUGGAGGCUAACUGAGCUGCAUACAUGCAAUAUAAAACCAGUUUCUAACCACAUUAUUCAGCUAUGUUAGUAAGACAAAUUUGACUUUUUGAAUUUCAGGCAGACCUACAUAGUAAACCAGCUUUCAAACAUCAUGUAAACUUACCAAGAGUCAAAUCAUAACCAAUAUAAUUUGAGGACAAAAGAAGGAAUAUACUGUAUUUUUGUGUUAAUAUCAUUAAAAGUCAACAUAAAUUCACUGUGAACAAGAAAAGACCUCAGAUAGAGUCAGACCUAUUAGCAAACAGUUGAAAACAGUUGUCUGCUGUGACUGGAUGGGCCGAGGAAGUAGGACAGAAGGAGAGGAAAAAUACCAGGGAGCAAAAAAAAAAAAGAAAGAAAAACAUCAGAUCACACGUGUUUAUGACAGUCUUGGAAUUCAGUAUCUGUGAAGACAUCACAGGCAAACUGGUGUUACCUGUACUGCAAAGCCUGUGUUUUCUUUGGAUGUGUUUGUGAGAAGUGAGUCUGUCAUCAUUAGUGAAAAUUCACCUUAGCAUGUACAAAACCUAAUUCCAAUGAAGUUGGGAAGAUGUGUAAAUUGUAAAUAAAAACGGAAUACAAUGAUUUGCAAAUCCUUUUCAACCCAUAUUCAAUUGAAUACACUACAAAGACAAAAUAUUUAAUGUUCAAACUGAUAAACUUCGUUUUUUUUGCAAAUUAUCAUUAACUUUAGAACUUGAUGGCAGCAACACGUGCCAAAGAAGUUGGGAAAGGUGGUAAAAAAAUACUGAGAAAUUUGAGGAAUGGUCAUCAAACUCCUAUUUGGAACAUCCCACAGGUGAGCAGGCUAAUUGGGAACAGGUGGGUGCCAUGAUUGGGUAUAAGAGCAACUCCCCCCAAAAUUCUCAGUCUUUGAGAAACAUUGUUUAAGAAUAAUGUUUCUCAAAGUACAAUUGCAAGGAAUUUAGGGAUUUCAACAUCUACGGUCCAUAAUAUCAUCAAAAGGCUCAGAGAAUCUGGAGAAAUCACUGCAUGUAAGCGGCACGGCUGGAAACCAACAUUGAAUGCCCGUGACCUUCGAUCCCUCAGGCGGCACUGUAUCAAAAACUGACAUCAUUGUGUAAAGGAUAUCACCACAUGGGCUCAGGAACACUUCAGAAAACCACUGUCGGUAAAUGCAGUUC
rnacentral:lncRNA from 1 species